UACGAAGGGGGCUAGCGUUGUUCGGAAUUACUGGGCGUAAAGCGCACGUAGGCGGAUAUUUAAGUCAGGGGUGAAAUCCCAGAGCUCAACUCUGGAACUGCCUUUGAUACUGGGUAUCUUGAGUAUGGAAGAGGUAAGUGGAAUUGCGAGUGUAGAGGUGAAAUUCGUAGAUAUUCGCAGGAACACCGGUGGCGAAGGCGGCGAUCUGGGGUCGAUACUGACGCUGAGGUGCGAAAGCGUGGGGAGCAAACAGG
rnacentral:rRNA from 1 species